UACAGAGGGGGCAAGCGUUGUUCGGAAUUACUGGGCGUAAAGGGCGCGUAGGCGGCCUGUUAAGUCGGACGUGAAAUCCCUCGGCUCAACCGGGGAACUGCGUCCGAUACUGGCGAGCUAGAGUACGGUAGAGGAGAGUGGAAUUCCCGGUGUAGCAGUGAAAUGCGUAGAGAUCGGGAGGAACAUCAGUUGCGAAGGCGGCUCUCUGGACCAGUACUGACGCUGAGGCACGAAAGCGUGGGGAGCAAACAGG
rnacentral:rRNA from 1 species